rnacentral:rRNA from 1 species
AACAUGGCCUUUUGAAUAUGAUUUAAGGUCCGGUCUGCCCAAUGAAAAUUUCAAUGGCUGCAGUAUUUUGACUGUACAAAGGUAGCAUAAUCAUUAGUUUUUUAAUUAAAAGCUUGUAUGAAUGGCUUUAUGAGAAAAGUUCUGUCUAUUAUUAAAUUUUUUAUAGAAAUUUAUUUUUAAGUUAAAAAGCUUAAAUUUUUUUAAAAGACGAGAAGACCCUAUAGAGUUUUAUAAUUUACUUAAUUAAUAAGUUUAAAGGAUUAAUUUUUAUUAUAUUAGUAUAUAUAUUUGAUUGGGGUGAUUUAAAAAUUUAGUAAACUUUUUAUUUUUUGUACAUUAAUAAAUGAUUAAUUGAUCCAUUUUGAAGUGAUUAAAAGAUUAAAUUACCUUAGGGAUAACAGCGUAAUUUUUUUGGAGAGUUCUUAUCGAUAAAAAAGGUUGCGACCUCGAUGUUGGAUUAAAAUAAACUAUUGGCGCAGAAGUUGAUGGGUUAGGUCUGUUCGACCUUUAAAAUUUUACAUGAUCUGAGUUUAAACCGGUGURAGCCAGG